CCUACGGGAGGCAGCAGUGGGGAAUAUUGCGCAAUGGGGGCAACCCUGACGCAGCAACGCCGCGUGAUGGAAGAAGGCCUUCGGGUUGUAAAGAUCUUUAAUCAGGGACGAAUUUUGACGGUACCCGAAGAUUAAUCUCCGGCUAACUACGUUCAAGCAGCCGCGUUAAUACGGAGGGAGCAAGCGUUCUCCGGAUUUACUGGGUGUAAAGGGCGGGUAGGCGGCAAUGCAAGCCAGAAUUGAAAUCUGGGGGCUUAACCCUCAAACGGCUUUUGGAACUGCGUGUCUUGAGUGAUGGAGAGGAAGGCGGAAUUCCGUGUGGAGCGGUGAAAUGCGUAGAUAUAAGGAGGAACACCAGUGGCGAAGGCGGCGUGCUGGACAUUAACUGACGCUGAGGCGCGAAAGCGUGGGGAGCAAACAGGAUUAGAUACCCUAGUAGUU
rnacentral:rRNA from 1 species